rnacentral:rRNA from 1 species
AUGAACUGGAUCGGGCGCAAGAUCCACCUUUACAAUGUCAACAUCGGCCUCUACAUGCUCGAUUGGUGGGAGCGCUACCUCUUCAAUACAUUGAUGCUUUGCCUUCUCUGGUACAUUCUACGGUAUCUCACUGGGUUCUUUCAAAGUAAUCUGGAGACCAUCCUACAAGGUGCGAACUAUCUUCUACAAGGUAGUUAA